CGGCGAUCGGAGUUUCAGGCCAGACCAGCUACACAGUGUUAAAGGUGGAUUAAUAUAACAUAGAAGAGAAGCACUGAUGAAGAUGUUUGGAAGAAUGAUGAGCUGCUGUGUGGCUCUCCUCCUGACCUUCAGCUCUGUGUCAGCUGUAAGAAAGCUCAACUCAAUCACUCAUCUGAGGUCAGUAGGCUUUGGCCAGUCUGUGCCUGAGCAGGGCAUUUGGUUGCUCCGCUGGUUUGCCAGUGAAAUUGACAUUGACAUAAACGGUGACAUAAGUCUGACCUUUGACCCAAAUAGUUUUGAUUAUGGCUCACAUCAUUAUCGCAACGAUGAACAGCUGUUAAACCCACUGCCGUGGGGAUAUCACUACUACAGUCUUGGGAAUAUCCAUCAACAAGGAUCGUUGCGACUUCCACAUUAUGUCACUCACCCUCAAUCAGAGCACGAGUACGGCAACAGGGCUCGGAUCAUAAUCAGAGUCUGGGAGCAGAAUGUGGGAUGGCGAACUUCACAGAUAAUAGACCGAGUCUAUAUCACACAGCAUUAUGAGACAUCUGAACAUCGAGGGACAGAUUAUGAUCCACUACAUACAUAUCGGGUCACUACUAACCUCUUAAGAGCAUUGAGGAGGUUUUUCUUGGACCCUAUUAACUUACUGAUGUCUCUCAGAGAUGAUUCCCAGUUUUCAGAGGAAAGAAACACAAGAAACACGUGGGGCUACGUUGCCUGUCUUGGACUAUUGCUGUUCACUGUGAUGCAGGAGAACCAUUCCUCUCACAACAGACGUCAGAAUGAUUGGUUCACUUGGGUCGGUUAUUCAAUCUGUUUGAUUUUCAUUAUUUUUUUGUUUUUUUGUUUUUGGUCUUCUGUAUCUUGAAAACUUGCCCAAGUAUUAAUUUAAUUAAAAUCAGUAUCAGCACACAGAAUGUGCUGUGUUUGCAUCGCUAAAACUUCCCAUUGUCAAAUCCCUCUUGAAUAAAAUAAUAUAAUAUAAUAUAAUAUAAUAUAAUAUAAUAUAAUUAUUAUGAUUAUUAUGGAUUUGAAAUUUUACAUAAUUGGUACGAUUAUUGCGAAAGAACUUUUAAAAUCAAAAUAGUUACUAUUUGAAUAUUAAUUGCAACUAUGGUGUUUUCCAAUCAAGCCUUCGUCACUGUGCAGACAGUGAUCUUAUUAAAGGGGUUAAAUUAUAUCUGCCUGAAUACAGACACUGGCAUUAUUAGAGUCUUAUGGGAACCAUUCUCAGAUUGUUAAAUAAAACUUAGAAGGUCGGGAUUAUUUACCAUGUGAAUUCCACAAUGCAGAUGACAUCUAUAUUUAAGGCUGUAACCGAAUCAGCUUCUUUUUUUAAAAAAAGAAGCUGAUUUACUGAUUUAUUUUUUGGUUGACUACUGCAACGAUAUUUUUAUUAAAGAGCAUAUCACUCUGAUUCUUAGCUCACUGCACAGACUUCCAGUAAGAUAGUUAAUUGUUUUUUUAAACUUACUUCAGAUAAAUCACUGAGAAAGUUUGGGCCCUAAAUUUAUACCUGACAUGUUUAAUUAAUAUGAACCUGGCAGGUAUCUGCAGUAGAGCCGCUCAUCCUGUGGUGCCUUGAUGUGAAAAUAAAGAGGGUGAUAUGACAUUUAGUAGCGCUGCUGCCUGCUGCUCAAACAAACUGUCUUAGAUCGUCUCCAACUAUAUCCCUUUCUAUUUCAAUAAUCGUGUAAGUUGUUAAAUUAACACCACAUGGUCUCAUAUUUCAUGCCUUUCCUUACAAUGGGUUUAUUCAUCAUAUAGUCCAUUUUGGGGAAAUGUGCUUAUUAUCAUCAGUCAUCUUUGUGUCAUUGGAACAGCAAUAAAUGAACAUUUCAGCAUCA